ACUGACAUUUACAGUGUAGACUGGACAGAGACAACCAGAUUUAAAAUGAUCAUAUCUGAUUAUUUGGUUGUUUUUCUCAUCCUGUCUAUUAACUUGGCAGGUACUGAGGCUCAAACACUGACAGAAUCUGAAUCAGUGGUUAAAAGACCUGGAGAAUCCCACAGACUGACGUGUACAUAUUCAGGGUUUGGUGGCAAUUAUGACAACGCUUGGAUCAGACAGGCUGCUGGAAAGGGACUUGAAUGGAUCGCUUAUAUCAGCAGUGGCAGUAGCAGCAAAUACUACUCUGUCAGUUCAAGGCCGGUUUACCAUCUCCAGAGACAACAGCAGACAGCAGGUGUAUCUGCAGAUGAACAGUCUGAAGACUGAAGAUUCUGCUGUUUAUUAUUGUGCU